UACGUAGGGGGCGAGCGUUGUCCGGAUUUAUUGGGCGUAAAGAGCUCGUAGGCGGCUCGGUAAGUCGGAUGUGAAACCUCCAGGCUCAACCUGGAGACGCCAUCUGAUACUGCCGUGGCUUGAGUCCGGUAGAGGAGCAGGGAAUUCCUGGUGUAGCGGUGAAAUGCGCAGAUAUCAGGAGGAACACCGAUGGCGAAGGCAGGUCUCUGGGCUGACACUGACGCUCAUGCACGAAAGCGUGGGGAGCAAACAGG
rnacentral:rRNA from 1 species